UGAGUAACCUGCCCUUAACUCUGGGAUAAGCCUGGGAAACUGGGUCUAAUACCGGAUAUGACUCCUCAUCGCAUGGUGGGGGGUGGAAAGCUUUAUUGUGGUUUUGGAUGGACUAGCGGCCUAUCAGCUUGUUGGUGAGGUAAUGGCUCACCAAGGCGAUGACGGGUAGCCGGCCUGAGAGGGUGACCGGCCACACUGGGACUGAGACACGGCCCAGACCUCCGUACGGGGAGGCAG
rnacentral:rRNA from 1 species